rnacentral:rRNA from 1 species
AUUGAACGCUGGCGGCAGGCCUAACACAUGCAAGUCGAGCGAGCGGCGGACGGGUGAGUAAUGUCUGGGAAACUGCCUGAUGGAGGGGGAUAACUACUGGAAACGGUAGCUAAUACCGCAUACCAUCAGAUGGGCCCAGAUGGGAUUCGCUAGUAGGUGGGGUAACGGCUCACCUAGGCGACGAUCCCUAGCUGGUCUGAGAGGAUGACCAGCCACACUGGACCGUAUACACGGUCCAGACUCCUCCGGGAGGCAGCAGUGGGGAAUAUUGCCCAAUGGGCGCAAGCCUUAUGCAGCCAUUCCGCGUGUGUGAAGAAGGCCUUCGGGUUGUAAAGCACUUUCAGCGGGGAGGCGUUACCCGCAGAAGAAGCACCGGCUAACUCCGUGCCAGCAGCCGCGGUAAUAC